CUCAGCUCCGUCCACAGCGUGACCUUUCUUCUUGUCCUUGGCAUUCCUCUUCUCCUUGAUCCUCUCCCUCAUCCUGGAGCCUUUCCGAACAAUGUCAUCACAUUUGAUAUCUGAGUGAGGAGUUGGGUGGAGAUGGAUGUGGACAAGGUGUUUUCGGGAGGAUUUGGGAGCGCAUAUUUCGUAGCAGGACGUUUCACUUCCAUACCUGCCGCCUCGGCUGCAAUUUCCAGGUCUUCUCUCUCCUCUGCUUCGGCCUGAGCUGCUUCCUGAGCUCUGAGGGUCUGAAGCGACAUCUUUUUUUCAUCCUUGUGCACAUGCAUUGGGCUCCAUGGAGUCCAUGAUGACGAUUUCGCCUGCAGAGCGGGAGAGAGUGCGCGAGGAAACGCUGGGUGAAAAGCCAUGCUGAGAACUGCCAUUGGUCAGGACCAUGUAGCCAUUCAUUAGUUUGGCUGUUCCCGUGGAGCCAGGCCACCCCCACACCCAGAAAAGCGGGAAAAGACAGCAGGUGGCGGCAGGAGGACAGAAGAGGACAGUCGGUGCAGCAUGUGAGAAAGAGGAAAAAAGACAAACGAAAAGCAAUGGCGAAACCAUUAAGACAUUAAGAAAAACCCAACAGCCAAGAGCAAGCAGUGAAAUUAGAAAUGUUUGUGAUCCUUGUACCUGCACUCCCCGAGUUGCUCGAUGCCUUAUUGGGAGCAGAGUAGAGGAAAUGCCUCAGAGAGCUGACUGCGUGUGAACCAACCAAGGUGUAGCGACCAAAGGCCCGGCAGUCC